UUUUGCGUCUAGAGAACACAUUAACGUUCGAAUGGGCUUCGCAGUGUAAUUGAAUUUUUCGGUGUGAUUUUGGUGAUUUUAAAGAAAAUACCAGGCCACCGAGUUGAGACAUCCGCCAAAGAUUCUUCGAGUAAACUAUUGUGCCAUCAUCUGGAUCAGACAUUUGGAUGUUUUUGUAUUUGUUUUCUGAUAGGUUGUCUGCGCCAUUUUGGGGAUGUGAUAUAUGUACGUACCUCAUGCAUCCACAUGAGGUUCUUAUUUUUGCUUUGUUGGCACAAUGCCAAUUAGUUGAUACGUCUUACACUCGUACGUAAACCCCGAUCAACACCUACAGGGCAACGUUUUGGAAUUCGACAACUAUUUGCUGUUCGCUGCUGGAGUGACUCGCUUAAUUUGGUAGCAGGUCUUCACCGCAACCAGUCAAUCGAUCGCGACCGUGCUAUCGGAUACAGCCGGAGUCUAAAUCAGCGUACACGACUGCAGCCACUACUUACAGGAACCGCAAGGUAUAAAGAAAACGGUCUUAGAAUCUUCAGGAGGAAUAAUUUAGUUUUUCUACUCCCGUCUGUAAAAUACCUAAUUAUCCACCGAUCUAGCGUGCGGGAAGCGUACCACGAAUCCGAGCCACUGCGGACAUUUCCGCGAUUUUACCGCACGGGUUUGGGAGCAAUCGGAUGUUAUCGGAGAUAAUUCCCACGUUUUGAAUUUUGAAUUUGGUUUUUGGAGUGAUAGCUUACUUUUCACACCAGAUCGGCUAACUCCCGGUUUGGUGGAGCUUUUUGCAGCCCAACAGCUCCUUCAUUCUAUUGUUCGCCUGUAGAUCAUUGGCCAGGAUGACUGUAAGUUAUAACUGUUUUUCAUUAUUUGAUUAACAACCUGAUUAACAGAAUUUCUAUAUGGGGAGGCAUAAUAUUCAGUGCCCUUGAUUGCUAAUAAAAGAAAAACUUGUGGCGCAUAAUAUUGUAAGCAAAAAUAUAUGAAAGUAGAAAGUAAGAAAGGGAAAUAAAAUGAAAUACUAAAAUAAUUAGUUAUUGGUAAUGGACCAGGGACUGAGUUGCAAUUGAUUCUGAAAAGGAUUCUGAAACUAGGUUUGAUUAUUGAUGUAAUUAAAAUGGUGUUCUGUCAAAUAGGUUUGAAAAAGCUUCAAAAUAGAUGCAAAACAUCCUCAUUAUCUUAUAUUCCCUAGGAUUGACUCCCACAAUCCACAAAAAAUCAAAACUUGAUGCUUGAAGUACUAUACUUUUUCUACAGUAUUGACAAAAUAAUACAUACUACUUCUUUCCAUAAAAGUUAAUUGAUCAAUAACUAAAUGCCCAUUCAAGGUGUAUUUUACUCUAUCCAAUCCAAAAACUUACUUUUUUGUUGUUUUUUAUCUAUAAUUUUUCUUUUUACAUUUUCUUUACAUGGGAUAUUCAAGUGUUAUCGUUUUGUGGUUGUGGUUUUAUGACUUAUCCCCCUUAUUAAUAAAGCUAGCGUGUUGCAGUUUUUGUCAUACAGGGUGGCUUUGAAAUACUUCAUUUUCAGAAACCCUUGGUAGUUUGGUUAUGCGUUAACUUAUUGAAAAGGUGAAGACUGACGUAGGUAUAGUUUUUUACGAUCCAGUGGCGUAGUCAUCAAUUUUUCCUGAUCACGUCAGAGCUAAUUCAAAUACAAUCAUUUUAUUUUUUUAUUGAGCAAGUAAUGACCAAAUGAGCUUCUGCUUUCAUUAAUGCUUCAUUAAUGUUGCAAAUCUUUAUAUAUUUUGUCCUUAUUACUGUUGACAAAGCAAUCUACAAAAUAUCUUGCCUGCCUUACAUAUAUGUACUUGUUCUUUUUUGCCAAAUCUAACAGCUGUAUUCCAAUUAUUUCCAAGUAAUUGUAUUAAUUGAAAAAUAUUUCUUCAUGCUUUUUUUUAAACUACAUUUUUUCCCAAUAAAUUGGUCCCAGAUAAUUUAUGAAAAAAAAAAAGAUGUUUGACGAAUGUGAAAUAUGUUUUAUCCCAAAAGCAGUGUAAAGAAUAAGAACGCGCAUAUUUUUUGCACAGAACUAGGUCUAUUUUGCCAAGGUUUGAAAUAGUUUCUUUGUAGAUAAAAUUUGCAAAUUACUGUUUAUUAUUUUUUUUGUGUGUUUAUAAAUUUUGAAUUUUUUAUUGUACUUCCCGAGUAGUAGUAGAGUAUUUUAUUGGGGUGUUUAAAAAAAAAAUGUUAUUGAAAUCAGAGAUUUUUUCUAUGAUAGUUUUAUAUGUAUCUAUUAGUUUAUUUGUAUAUGCAAGAUAUAUCUUACUCUGACUUUCUAACUUUUAAUAGGAUGCUCUGUAUGUUACUGCAAAUUUGGACGAGUCGAAUGACGUAAUGUAUUGUGUGGGUCUGGGUACCAACGUUUCGGAUUUUUUGAUUUUGUUCUUCAGUCUGACAAAUUCUUGAAUUAACAAAUUCGGUAAAUAAAAGUUUUUUGAGAUUUGUUUGCAUGAAAAGAAAUCGAAAUGUUAUUUUAACUACACAUGUUUAAACAUUAUUGUUAAAAUUUAAACAUGUUACUGCAAACUACACGUUUUGCUAUUAAAACAUUUAUUGAUUUACUUUUUACAAAAUUUCUUGAUUCAUCCUGCGUCAGUUUUUGCUGAGUCGAACUUGCCGACGUUUCGCCAAUCAUACUGUUGGCUUUUUCAGAGCUUCACUGAAACUGAUUCGUAUUUUACUCUGGACCUGCUUAUAUAUUGUUUGAGGGGGGCAGAGCUAAAUUAGCGGCAUAAACACCGUCUCGGAUGACUGAUCCCCAUAUUGAUGACAGAUAGAGACCUGAGUCGCGGUUAAGAUUGUUAGGUUGUUUAUAGAUUUGUAUAGAUUGUCGGAUUUUUCGUUGGUAGAAGAACUGAUUACGUGCAAAAAUUUUAGUUUUAUCGAAUAAAAUGUUAUGUCCGGUUUCAUGAGUGUGUUCGGCAACAGCCGAUGAGUUUAUUUGUCUUAGAGGUAAGGCUCUUUCGUGUUCUUUGAGCCAGCUGAUAUUUUUCGUCCGGUUUCUCCAAUUUAUUCUUUGCCGCAUAUGCAUGGAAUGCUGUAAACUCCUGGCAUCGCAAAUGGAAUUUUGUUUUUGACGGACCGAAGAUGUUGAGAGAUUUUUGAACAAAUGGUAAAUCUGCUUUUGACGUUAUACUUCUUUGGAACUUUUGAUAUGUGGUCAGUGAUCGCUAUUGGAAGGUUGUGGUGAAAUGUAUUUUUUGAUAGAACGCUCAAUAUCUUUCAUGUGGAAAUUAUUAGAGGGAAGAGCAGAGGUAAGGUGUUUUAACUCUGAUGGUGAUGUGACCAUGCAUUAAAGUAUCGGUCUGUGCGCGUAGAUUUUCUGUAAACACAAUGACCCAAUGUUGUCUGAUUUUCUAUUGAUAAGAAUAUCUAAGAAUGGAAGAUUAUUAUUAGUGUCUAGUUCAAUAGUAUUGUAUUGUAUAAUGUUUUAAAAACUACAACUGUCAUCCAAAAUACAUAAGAGACAAAAAGUGUAAAGUAAGAGGUUUAUUAAACUAAAUAAGUUUUAAUACCAUUGGCGUACAUAAAGAAAAGUUGCUGAUAAUCCACAUAAAAAUCUACAUAAAAGUGAAAUAUGUGUAAAAUUGCGAGAUUUAUAAAUAAAAAUGUUAUUUUAUGAAUACAUUUUUACACCCUGCAUUUUAGAAACCGGCCCCGAAAAUGAAAAAUGGCAUAAUGAAAAUCACAUUUAUACACAAUGUGUCAUUAACGGGAUGACCUAUACUUUGACUCACCCUGUAUAACAUAUAUUUAAAUAGAAUAAUGGUUUAUUAUGCGAAAAGUGUGGUAAAGCGGAGCGAGUGUUUGUUAAAUGAGUGACUUAAAAGGUUUACCAAACGUGUUGCAUAUUAUGCUUUAUCUACGGCUGUCAGUUCUUGUGUAUUGUAGCCUAUAUUGUUAAUAACAAGUAGUUUGUCCUCAAGUCCCUUAUUAUUAUUUAAAGCCAUUAUAUACAAAAAGACAACAUGUUUAAAGACUUUUCGUAAAGAUCUUGUACAGGGUGGCCACUUAGUGUUGCCUGGGUAAACCCAACUUCAUUUUUUUUUAAAUCGAACAUCCUGUAUAUUAUUACAUUUUUCGAUUCUACUCAAGUUUCUAGGAAAAUUUUAUAUAUAAUGUUGUUUCGUUUGCAUGCUCUUUUAAUAGUUUAAUUAAUGUAAUUUAGUCAUUUUUCUAAUAUUAGUUGCCCUAAAAAAAUACAAAUUUUCUACCAUUACCAACACGUUUUAAUUCGUCGUUCGUGGUUUUCUCUCUUCAUUGUAGCGGGCGUUUCGAUAGACUUUAUCCAAGUUUGUAAGAACUGAACGUUUUUUUGUGAAAACCAUGUUGAUUUUGAUCUAUGUCAUUCUUUACCAGAAAAAACAACUGUAAAUAAAUUGCAGCCUCAAAAACCUGUGCAAAGAGUUUUCGUCGUGUAAAACAAAUUUGAUUUUUUAAAAAACUUUAUUAAAGCGAGAUGACAUAAAGCUGGCGAUGUGGUUCGCACCGUGGUUUUAUAUAAACAAAUUGCUGACACUUUGGGAAACAAUAUGUAUGGGAACUUUUAUUCAGCGGUUUACAAUAUUAGAGCGUUUAUAACACCUCCGCCCUUAAAUAAAAGCACGGGUACAACAAGUGGUUUUAGUUUAAAUAAUGAUAUUCUCUUUUUGUUUAUUAAUUUUAGGUAACCUUUUAAAUGGAAAACAUCUAUAUAACAAAUAAAUCAAAAUCAAUAUAAUUAUUAGGUACAACAAAAUUGUCCAAACACUAGUUCUUGUAGAAUAUAUAGGUAAUGACAUCUUCCCAAGGUUUUCUUUUGCUUCGUCCAUUUGGAUUUGUAGCUCUUUUAUUGCCUUUAGGUUGAUCGUGUCCAGUGUGAGUUCUGGUGGAUCGAAGAUUGUUUUCUGUUUGUGUAGUAGUGAGAAAUUCACUUCCGGUAGACGGGUGUCAUCAAAUCUCAAUCGAUUAGGGGUAUAGGUCCCUAGUCGUUCCAAUUUGUACUUUGCAAAUUGGGGAAGACUCGAUAAGGUGAGAUCCGAAUAAUGGUACAAUGUUAAUGUCGUCAUUACAUUGUACUGUUGCUAUUGUCUUCUUAGGUGUCAAUCCAUUUUCCAUUUUGGAUUUUAAAAAUUUUUAUUUCUUGAAGUUGGAUUUUAAUUGGUUUACAGUUUGUCACAUUGGUCUUGCGAGUUAUUAUUUCCACUGAACAAGGCGGGUGUUCCUUCAUAUGGGUAAUAUAUAUAUUUUUACACAUCAACUCAUUUUUUAAUAGUUUCACACAUUUAGUGUCCAUAAAUGAGUAUAUAUUUCCACUCAGGUAUGGUUGGAUCGGUAUAUUGACGUAAUAUUGCAGUUCUUGUUCACUAUUAACUGGUAGCGGAUACAAUUGGUAAUAUUGAUAAAUUUCUGAUUCUACUAGUGGUAGUUCCAAAAUAAAAGUUAUUAUUAGUCCUCUAGAGUAGCUUUUUAUUUCUAUAAUUUUUUCAAAAUUUAAUAUAUUUUCGAUAGAUAACUCGAACGGUAGUUGGUUUUCCUUUAAUUCUUUUUUAAUGUUUUUAAUUUCUUCGAAUAGUUCGGACGGAUCAAUUAUUAAAUUAUAUAAAGUAUUUAAUUUAGCAAAGCUAAUUGCGGUUUCGAUUUUCUCAAAAAUGUUAUAUAUUGAAUUAUACAUAAAGGUAAUUUGAUUCAUUACUACAUGUAUUUGGAAAUACUCAUAGUCGUUCGUUUGUUCAACAGUUAUCUUUUUGAUUAUUUGAUCAAUUUGUAAUAUUUUGUAUUUAAGGAUGAGUUGGUUAUGAGAAAUAUUGGAUAUCAAAUUUUUAAAUGAGUUGAUUGUUUUUUCUAACGGUUUUAUUUGAUUAAUUGAAUUAGUUCCUAAAUUAUUUUGGUUUUCUUGCAGUUGUUUGAUUUCUAUAUCGUUUUUUUGCCUCGUCAGAUUGGUCUAAGUUUCCAGUAAUACAUUUAAUAAUAGAACCGAUUGGGUUUAAUAGACCUCUUUUAUUUCUUCUUAUAUAUGAUGGAUUGAGUUGAUUAAUUUGGUUUUCAAUGCGUUUUGCCAAUGUUACAAGAGGGAUGACUGAAUUAGAAUAUUCGUGAGAAUAAUUAGUAUUAUUUUUAAUCUGACUAAUUAAUAUUUUUACUUUGUUAUAGAUUGCAUAGAAUUCAGCAACAGCUGGGUUUAAAUCAAAAAUUUGUAUAAAGAAGAAUUGGUUAGAGGUUAUUUUUGCGGUACCUAGUUUAUAAGGAAGGAUUCCUAGAUAGUUGUUCAGGUUGUGGAAUUUUACUUCGUUUGUUCCGAUGUUUGCGAGCCACCUGGAACAAUGUUCAUUAUUUUAGUUUCGUUAACGUGAGUUAUUUCUUUUUUAUUUGUUUUUGGGUUUUCUAUUUCAAUUUUAUUAUUAUCUAAGAUUUUUGUUAAUAUGAAUGGUCCAGAAAAUUUUUUAUUUAAUUUACCUUUUCGACUUUCGAUGCGCUUAUACACCGUUGCGCCAAUUUUUAGUUCUACUGGAGUUUUGUUUUUAUUAAUUUUUAUUAGUUUUAUCGAUCGUUUUGUUUUUUUAAAAGGGAAUCGUUAUGUACCUUUUCGUAAAGAAGCUUAGUAUUUGUUUGAUGGUUAUUUACGUAUUCACAAUAUAUUUGAGAAGUGAUUAGGUUCAUAGGGUCACUUGUAUCAGUGUGUCCUAGUGUUAAUUCAAAAGGCGUAAAAUUAGUAUUUGUGUGUAUAGUACUGUUAUAUGCAAUGAUCGCAUAGGGCAUAAGUGAAAUAAUAUCGGAAUUUGGUAUUCCAUAGAAUGAGAAGAAAUGUACUAAUUUUUGGCAUGCUGAAAUCGCAGUUCUUAGAGAAUUUAUCAAUUAUAGUUAAGAAUUUUUGUCCGCCGGCAAUAAAGGUAUCGACGUGUAUAAUUUCAAAUGGUUUUGAAGGUGUUUCAGUUAACAUUAAAGGUUGAUCUGGUGGUUUUCGUUGAUAUUUUGCUCGCUGGCAAAUUUCACAUUCGUUAAUAUAUUUUGUAACAUCUGACUUUAAGGAUUUCCAGUAAUAAUUAUUUUUUAGAAAUUUACAAGUUUCUUCUAUGCCUCUGUGAUUAGUUUUACCUUCAUUUUUAUAUUUAAUUAAUAUAUUUCGUUCUUGUUAAUAAUUUCAUUUAAUAUAGGUAUUCCCUGUAAAGUUUUGUCAUUAUUAGUACUAUGUAUUGUAUUUUCAAAAACUGGCCUUAAAAGUUUGUUUUCAAGAAUGAUUAUUUUUGGGCUUUUUAGGCGUUUAUUUUCUAUUUCCUCGAGUGUUUUUGAAAUUUCAUUCCAGUCUAAUUUAUUCGGAUGAAAAUUGUUGUCUAGAAUAUAAUAUUAUAAAUUGACACUAUAAAUAGAGUCAGUUUCUAAAGCAUUUAAUUUUAUUCGUGACUAGGCGUCCGCAUUUGCAUUUUGUUUGCCAUUUUUAUAAAGAAUUUCGUAGUCAAAUUCUUCUAGUUUGUCUCCAUCUCAUAAGUUUUUAAUUUGGUUCUAUUAGGUUAAACAACCAGACUAAUGGUCUAUGGUCCGUAAAAAUUAAAAAAUUAAUUAAUUAAAAAAAAUAAAACCGUUAGCUAGAUCCAGAGUUGAAAAAUACUGAGCUUUACCGAGUUUAUCGAGAAUAUCUGAAAUAUUAGGCAAGGAAAAUUUAUCAUCGAUUGUUUUUUCAUUAAGUUUCCGGUAAUCUAUGACAACGCGCCAUUUACGUUUAUUUGAUGCAUCUAAUUUUUUUGGUACGAUCCAUAUAGGACUCCACGGGGAAUGUGAGGGUUGGAUUAUAUUAUUUUUUAGCAUUUCGCCUAUUUGUCUAUUUACUUCGGCUUUAUGUACUUCAGGAUGACGGUAAUUUUUUGUGUAAACGGGUGUUUCGUCAGUUAAAUUAAUUUUGUGUUUAAUUUGAUUUGUGAAAGAUUAAUGGCACUUUAUCGCAAUAAAAUAUGUCUCGAUAUUCGUAACAUAACUUCCUAAUCGCUUUGUAUUCUUCUUUAUUGCAGUGAUUCAGUCUUAAAUUUUUUAGAUUUUCUUUUUGCAGAUUGUCGAAAUUACUUAUUGAAUGUUCGAUUUAAUUUUCAUUGUUAUCUUCUAUUUUUUCAAUGAAAUUAGUUUCACAUUCAUUUAUUAAUUCAAUUUCUAGAGGUUCAAUAAAUUGUAUACUAACAGGAUUUUCAGAUGUGUUAGUAAUAGUUGUUAACGCACAUGAAUCGAUAAUUUUUACUAAAGCUUCCGGCAUUUCGGCAUUUACAAAUUUUUCAUAUUUUAAGAUUCCUAUACCAUUUUGUUCUGUCACGGGUAUUUUAACUUUGUGUUGCUUGGUUGUGGGUAAUCAAAUAUUGAGGUAUUAAGUAGUGAUUGCAAAUCUCUCGCUUUUUUGCUGCACGUGCGACUUCAGUUUUUUUCGAAAUGGACUGAAAUUUAACCACCAUAUUUUUGGGGGUGUUUUUGGAGGCAACACCCGGAAAUUGGAUGACUCUGUGACUGGAGACAAUAUCAUCAUCCUGAAGUUCAAUUUGUGGAGUCUCUCCAAUUUUUUUAACAAUAUCUUCAACGUUUUCACCCUUUAUCUCAGUAACCACCACAUACUUCCAAGUUAAUAUUUCUAUCCUGUUGCUUCAUCCACUCCAGUUCUGAUCUCAAAGAGCUACAUUCAGCUUUAACUGAUUCAAGUUCCUCUUUUAAGUUAUCAAUCUCCUAAGGUAUUUUUUAACUGUUUCCAUCUGGGCAGUAAAGUCAUCAAUUUUCCCCCCAAAAAAUUACAAGGAAUCUUUAAAGAGACCUUGCUCAACUUUUAAUUCGCUCGUAGUUGACAUGAGUGAAUUAACCUUUACAAUUACUUCUUGAAAGUACUUGGAGACAUCAGGUUCCGUUCCUAUACAAUGUUUACAUUUCCACACGCAUCCAGGAUCGCGAUCCAGCUCCGCAAUCGCGUUGGGCAAUUUAAUAUAUUUUAAGUGAAAAUCGUUUGUGCAACCUUCGCAUCGAAUACCUCUGGGCUAUUUCAAAUUUUGUAGGUGCUCAAAAUAGUUUUAUGCGGGAGUCCGCCAAUAAAGUGUGUAUCACCUGGCACUUCAACCCCCCUUCGGCUCCACAUUUUGGCGGGUUGUAGGAAGCGGGGGUGAAAGCGGUUAAAAGUCACCUUUACAGUGUCUUUUGUGGUCACAUAUUAACAUAUGAAGAGUUGAACACUGUUUUUAUCCAAAUUGAAGUCAUUUUGAAUUCUCGUCCACUUACCCUUUUUGGUACCGAUCCCUACGACCUUUCAGCCCUCACGCCGGGUUAUUUUCUUACAUUGAAACCUGUGAUGGCACCCCUGAACACGAUUACACUUCGACUUCUGGUAGUCACUUAGAUCGUUGACAACUACUCCAGCGAAUGCUUCAAGAUUUCUGGGCCCGGUGGUCCAAAGAAUUUUGAUAUACGUAUCAUCAGCGUAGCAAAUAGUAUAAAGAUCCUUCUUCUGUUGUAAUUGGUACGCUGGUACUAAUCAAAGAUGAUCUCGACCCGCCAAUGCAAUGGAAGACGGUAUAGUUAGAGUGGCUCUUGUAAAGACUUCAAAUAGCCCGGUUAUUAAACUGUCCGCUACCAACAAAUAACACACUAAAAAAAUUCGUUGUAUUUUGGUAGGCGGAAUGUUACGUUUGCAUGUUCUUUUAAUAGUUAAUUAAUUUAAUUUAGUCAUUUUUCUAAUGUUCGUUGCCCUUAUAUUAAAAGGGAAAAAGAAUUUACUACCACCGCAAUUUAUGUUGACACUUUCUUAGUAUUUUAAUUUCCCGGUACGUUUUAAGGCCUAUACGCAAGUGCAAAGUGCAAGUAGUGCUUUUUUGGAUUCGAAAUGUAUCGAUCGAUCGGUACUCGGUAGAACGUUGCAGAAAAAUUAAUUUGUCGCUCGUGAUGUUCUCCCUUCCCUGUUGCGGUCGUUCAGAUAGACUAACAAUUAACAAUUAUCUGUUAGUGACAAUUUAGAGUGUUCCAAUCGCCUCAGCCGGCCGGCUCCCCGCAUAAUCCGGGACUCCCAGGUCGAUCAAACACACACUAAAGUAAUAAGGCCUCAAUUCGUAGUUUUCUUAUAAAUUAUACAGUCUAUUUUCUCGCCACUCUAGCCAUUGUUGAGUUCGUCAAUUAAAUGUUCUAUAUCUAUGUCUAAUGGUUUUUGACAUAUUUAAGUUUUUAUUUUAAUUAUGUCAUUUGCAGGCCCUAGGACUAAUACCAAUUUUUCCUAAAAGGAAAUCUUUAUUUUUUAAUUUGGGUUUAAUACGUUGUUGGCAAGAACAUACUUUAUCACAAUGUUUAUAAUAUGUUGUUAACUAAUAAUGCAUGCAGGGUGUUCAAAAAGUAAGAUUAAAUACUAAUUUAAGAAAACUGUCAAAAAUCUUUUUUUAAAUGGACCGACCUCUCCAAUUUCAUAAUUUUAUCUUAUUUACCAUUAAAAAUAAUAUUUAAUUUAUUAAAAUAAUAAUAUUUUGUUAACUAAUAAUGCAGGGUGUUCAAAAAGUAAGAUUAGGUAAUAAUUUAAGAAAACUGUCAAAAUCUUUUUUUUUAAUAGACCGACCCCUGCAAUUUUAUAAUUUUAUCUUAUUUAUCAUUAAAAAUAAAGGUAAGUUUGUAUAAGGUAAGGUUGUUUAUGCUGAACAUGUUUAGUUUUCGAAAGAUUGAUAAAUUAAUAUUCUUAUAUGACGAUUUUGCUGCGGUUUCAAACUUUGUUAUAUCUAUUCUUAGUUGGCUAACACAGCGUUUAAAAUCAAUAAUAUUCCAAAGAAAUAUAUGAGGCUGGUGAUAGUUGCUAUUUCAAAAUUAUCAAUAAUUUUUUGACCUAAAUUUUAUAAAAUGUGACAUAUUUUUAGUUAAAAAAACUAUAAUAUGUCAGAUAUAAUACUUAAAGAAUUGACUUGGAUUUGGAUUGGAACAACAGGUAUUAUAAUAAAUUUUCAACAUGUCCUCCAUAAACCGCCAAUCACGUCGUAUAUAUAGUUUCCAUUUUAUUUAUAGCAUCACUAACCAUUUUAGAUUCGUUGAUAUUAAGUAUUUCCUGUAUUAUUUGCUCUUUGUUCUCCCUAUUUCAGUCCGAUUUUGAUAAACUUUAUUUUUUAGGUUUCCCCAUAGAAAGAAAUCUAAAUCAGAGCUAACAGCUGUCCAAGGUAUUGUUCCGGGUCGACCUAUCCAAGUUGUAAAUGGGUUGUUCAGCCAGUUAAUAACAGAUCGUGACGUAUGAUAAGGAGCACUAUCUUGUUGAAAGAUUUGAUCAUGUUUAACUUGUUCCAGUAGAGCGUCAAUAAGCGGAUAAUUCUGCGUAGCUAGUAGGUUUAAAUACCGAUCACCAUUAAGAUGGCCUUCAUAAAAAAUAGAUAUUAUACCACACUAACUUCUGUAACCCUGCUUCUGAAUAAUUUUAACACGGUGUUUGUUACUAGUAGAUCUAUUAAUAAUGCCGGUCGUAUUAAAAAAACUUUCGUCAGUCCAUAAUACUGUUUCAAAUAUGGAUUCAAAGUAACGGUCCAUCAUUAGAGCGCAAAAUGUUGCUCUUGCAUCCUUAUCUUCAGCUGUUAAUAACUGAACAGGAAGGAAUUUUAAUGGAAAAUAAUUUUGAGUGAAUAGAAUUGAAUGCCAAUUUGACUUCUGCAAUGUCACGCGAGGCUUGCCUUUGGGGACUUUCUUUCUUCUCUUCGAAAUACAGCAAAACAUCUAAUUGUUUUUCUUCAGCAUGGGCAGUUCUCGGGUUCGUCCUGGUGUUUUUUUAUGGCUGAAGUAUUUCGUAGGUUACGCACUAUUCUACUAAAACUCUGUUUAGUGGGUAAUCUGCUUGCUGCAUAUAAUUGCCGGUACUCCCGAAGAUCCAAAGCUGGACUUUCAUAUUUUUGACAGUAAUAAAAUAAAAACGACGAAUUUACAUUUUACCGAGAGCCUGUGGCUUUUUUGUUUAUCAUGUUCUUCUUUCUUGACUUUUUAUUCGUUGUCAAGUAUAACACAGCACGAAACCCGCAGUAAAAUCGUCAUAUAAGAAUAUUAAUUUGACAUUCGUUCGAAAGCUAAACAUUUUCAGCAUAGACAACCGUAUCUUAUCCAAACUUAUUUUUAUUUUUAAUGGUAAAUAAGAUAAAAUUAUGAAAUUUGGGGGUUUCCAUUUAAUGAUUUUUGGAAGUUUUCUUAAUUUAGUAUUUAUUGUUACUUUUUGAACACCCUGUAUUAUUAGUCAUGAAAGGAUUAUAGAAGUUCUCUUAAACCCAAAUUAAAAAAUAACGAUUUCCUUUUAGAAAAAAAUUCUUGUUAGUCCUAGGGCCUGCAAAUGACAUAUUUGAGAUAAAAAUGUAGACAUAGGAAGACAUUGGUAUAGAGCAUUGUAUAUGAAAUUUUCCUAGAAACUUGGGUAGAAUCCAAAAAUGUAAUAAUACACAGGAUAUUCCAUUAAAAAGUUGUGUUUACCCAAACAACAUAUUCUUGUAUAUAUUCAAUGCUCCUGGGACAUACGGACAAGUCAGCAGUGGCGGAGCAUACGCAUCAUGUUUGAAGACACUCAGGUACUGGACAGGACAACACAUUUUUAUCGACGACUCUUCAGAGAAGCCAUUGAAAUUCAGAAACAUCCGAAUAAUUUCAACAGAAAAGAAAAAGGCCUUAACGUCAGCAGAACGUGGAUUCAGGUCAUAAACAAAACAUCAUGUCUACCCGGACGAAUACGACCUAUGCUUAAUAGCGAGGCCACGCCCACUCCAGCGCUUAUAUACCGGGGAUUCUCCACUAGGCAAAUCAGUCAUCGCAGAGCAGUACGGAAGAUCACUUCGACCGUUACCGCAUCGCCGCUCUUGAAAAUAUCUGCCGCAGUUGUAGACGAAACGUCGAGUGUAAUCUCGGGGCCACGGCUCAAAAGUCCGGAAAUACUUAGCAGUGUAGUUUGUGGCCAUGAAAGCCUAACAUCUUUGAUACACUGAUCUGUUUUUAAAACCCACCUGGUGGCGAUCUCUGUGUAUAAUUAUCUUGAGAGUCAUAAGCUCUUAGCAGUGUAUAUUUCGGUGAUUUUGGAAUUUUUCAAUUUUGAGGCACCUCUCAUAUCUCCGGUAUUCUAUGAAAUAUCGGAAAGGUGAAAAGGGCAUCCGAUGUUAUAUGUCCUAUAUGUUAUUCAAAAAGAUAAACCGAAACGUCAACCUAGAUAUUAAAACAAUUAUUUAAAGUGAUAAGGAACAUAAAAAUUUUUAGCAUUUUUUGCAAAUCUGAACAUAAUUCUUUUAAUUAAUAAAGCUACGUUUUAGUUUCAGUGUGGCCUGUUUACUAGGCACCGAAAUCGUAUAUCGUAUUUUUGGAGAUAAUUUGAUUGGUGUAGGUUGUGCUUUAGAGAAAAUGGUUGACAAUUUCAACAGUUUUUUUGGCUUUUUAAAUUAAAACAAUAGAAUUCAGAUUGGCAAAAAAUGUUAAUAUUUAAUGUUUUUUAUGUUUAUCUUUGGCGGAUCGGGUGCAGAUGGAGGCGGCCAGGACGGCUGUGAGGCUGGCGAGCUGCGGGCUCUGGAGGGAGGGAACCUUCAAUCGGGGCCCGUACUACAUUUUAGAGGGCGGGCUUAAGGAUCGCGGGGUCAUGGGCAUGCCGAGUGAUGUCAUGAUCCCCGAGAUGACCUUCUUUGACAAAUGGACCUUUCUGUUCCCAUCAAUUGAAAAGUGGAGAGAGGGCAGAGUCGGCUUCUGGGAUGGACUUAUCUGGCACACGGACGGGUCCAGAAUUGGAGAUCAGCCGGAGCUGGAGAGUACUGCGAGACAACGGGAUCGAGCUUGGGUUUGGGUCAGUACUGCACUGUGUUUCAGGCGGAUAUUUUCGCUUUAUUGAUGGCGGCCAGAGAGUUGCUUCGGCCCAACCACGGAAACAGGAGGGUCUUCUUCUGCUCGGAUAGGAGGGCUGCACUUAUGGAGCUGAAGUCAGUGCGCACGCGCUCCUUGUUGAUAAAGGAGUGCAAAGGGGUACUGAAUAGAGUGGCCGAGGAGAGGAAUGUCACGUUGCUCUGGGUCGCGAGAGUCACACCGGUAUCCGAGGCAAUGAGGCAGCGGACGGUAUUGGGCUACAAUAGUUGUUGACCAUCUAUAGGAGGGGGUGGGGGACGCAGGGCGCCCCACUUUAGUACCAAUACCAAUACCCCUUCCUUUCCAACGGGUUUGCUAAAUCAUAAUUGCUAAUUUGAUAAGUCUGGUGGAAAAAAUUCCUUCUUGAGAGAAGUGUACUACGCAUCCAUCGUGUUGCAGUCACGCAUCUCCUCUCGUAGAGGGACGUUUUUUUUUUUAUAAAAUCGGCAAGUAGUUAAAUCGAUCACUCAAAAUACCACUCUCGACGUUCGCAUUCGACCUCUUUUGAUAAUUCGCUUUCACGCGUCCAAUGGAAAUUUACUGGCGAUAAUGCAUAUUAUGCAUUGCAUUGAAAGGCAUCAAUAUACACGCUAUGCAAAUUGACUAUUUCUUUGCUCGAAAAAGUAGCUUCAUUUGUUCAUAAUAUUCGAAAUAAAAAAUUUGGGGUCCUCAUCUAUCCUACAAUUUAGCCAAUUAUAGUAUUCUAUUCAAAGAGAAUUUUAAGUAAUUUAGUAUAACGGCCUAGGUAGUGGUCUUUUAGAAUUCGGUGUAUCGAUGUUUUACUAAUACCCAAGUUAAGCCUGAAUGGGCCAUAGGCAAAAACAAUAAUGACGUUUCGUCCUGUUUUGAGCCAAUAUUUACUUAAACGACUACGACUUUAGGUUAAGAAAAAUAUAUUGGCGGUUUUCACUGGGUUGUUCUUUUGUUUGUCUAUUAAUAAAAAAUAAUAUCUUCGCAUUUUUUCCUUUAGAAAAUUCUGUCUAGUGCCAUUUCAGAACUUCAAGAAUAAUUUUAGUCAUUCAAUUUUUUUUUCAAAAUUUUAAAAACAUGCAUUUCCUCAAUAUCGUACCUAAUUGCCCCUACUAAGACACACAUAGAUUAAAAGGAAGCUGGUAUAAAGGAAAUGAUUAAGUUAGAACUUGAUCAUAUUUAUUUAUUGAAGACCUUUUUAAAAUUAAAACAAUAAAAACAAAACAAAACAAUAAAAUAAAAAAAAUAUGUGAGUAUGUCCAUGAUUUGAACAAAUUUAAAAAUUAUAAUUAAUAACUGACCGAUAAAACUGAGCAAUGAGUUUUUUGCAGGUUAAUUGCAAGGUCAUAGUAAUAUUUUUUCUAAAUCUCAUGGAGGUAAGAAGUUGAGAAUGUUUAGCUCCACAUUUUGUAGCUAAGCCCUUCAUGACAUUUCCAUCCAUUCCAAAUCUUCUGUGUUCUGUGAAUAUUGUAUACGGCUUCCAUUUGGGAAUCACAUCUCUAAUUUUAAGAGACAAUAUGCUUUUAAAAAUGAUAGAAAUAGGUUUUGUUCCUUUGCCUCCUGUAACCACUCUUAAAUUGUUUGAAUAUAAUUUUUUCCGCGGUAAUUAAGGAUUCAGCAUAAACUGCCUGAUUAAAUAUGGUGGUUUGAGCUGGUACAUAUUCACCACGCCACACCACACACACGCACCCACCACACGCACACCACCACACGCACACCACCACACGCACACCACCACACGCACACCACCAUAGGCACACCACCACACCGCGAUCGGACAAUUACUCCCAUUCAUUUCUUUAAAAUUUGCAUUUAAUAUUGAAAUUGUAUAAAUAGAACAAAUGUGGCACUGGAACAUAUGAUAUCGGGAUUUAGCGUUAAAUUUUAGUUACAAGAGAAUUGCUUCAUUUUGUUCGAUUCCGGCCUUAACCCCUACGUCCUGUUCUCAAACUUCAGCCAUCUGAAAUCCAAGAUACCUAAAUUUAGCUACUUGUUGUAGCACUUCGUUAUUUACCCUUGUGUUCGUUGGCCCAAAUACCUUUUUGGAAAUAACCGCAACAUUAUUCUUAGAACAUUGUGUUCAGUUCGUAUUCGUUCCCGGCUUUUGUAACUCUUGAAGCGAGGCUUCGUAUUCCGUAUCCGUAGAUUAUUUAAGACCUCCCUAUUUAUUUUAACAUCUUUCACGAAACCAUUUAAAAAUCUUUCGCUUUAAGAGAUCAAUUCUCUCGACCGCUCUCUCAUAAUCGAUAGUGUGGUGGGAAUUUGCAAGUUACUGAUUUUAAAAUGUCUAAACUUUACUCAGUAUAUGCCGCAUUCACAAGAAUUUCUCGAUCUCGGAAAAGUCUUACCAUAUAAUUUUCUCUUGUGUAGUUAUUUUUUUGGAUAUUUUUAAGAUUUUAUUUUCGUUGUGGAGCAGUCGAUGCGGAGGUUUACUUUUAAAUAAACCAUAGAUUUCCUUUUAUAAAAUCAUGGUCAUCGCGCAUCGUCACGCAUCAUCUGGAGCGCGUCAAUCUACCUGUAGGAUUUUAUAGUUGACUCUUCCUUCGCUUCUGUGAUUUUCAGUUUUAUUUGUGAGUAUUAAUAUUUAUCUUGUAGUCUGGGGCUUAUAUUGUCUCGCUUUUGACAAUUGUUUCCUUAACAGUUUCCAAUAGUGAUUGUGUGUCAUUUCCUUCAGUGUAAUUUCUUGCCUUUCAUUUUGUUCGAAAUGUUUGCUUUAAUUUCUUUGUCAUUAAGUAGUGUGAUGUUCAUUUUCUUCUGUCUUGUUUAAAUCUGUCUUCGGUUUAUGUCUAUAUAAUUAUUUCUGAAGUGUAUUCUGAUCGUCAUGUGUUCAAUCUCAGCCCUGUUUGUCGUCCUAUGGCGAUCUCCAGCUGUAAAGACUGCGUAAGGGUAAUCUAAAGCAUGCAUUGCAUGCAUUGGUCAUAUCGUCCUCGCUCUGUUCUCAUUCUUUGCCCCGUGGCCAUUUUAAUUCCUACAACGGACUCAAAGCCAUUACAUUACAUUUUUAGUCAUGUAUACUUGGAACAAUAGUUAAUGGUUCUGACUGAUUCGUGCCCAUUCUAAACCUCCUGGUAUUGUGCUCACGAUCAGUAAAGGAUCACCCGUUGCCGUUAUCUCUUCUAUGCUACCCUUAGUGGGGCUGCUAUUUUUGCCAGAUCUGCCUUGCAGGAGCUUAACGCUGCUUUUCUUGUAUUACGUAAUGAACUCAAAUUAUCGAAUAACCGUUUUAUGCUCAUAAGCACGAAACAACCAGAUCAGUAAAUUCAUCUUUAUAAAAUAAAAAUGUUACAUAGCCAUUAUGGUUUGUUUCUGAGCUACCGGUACAAUUACAAAAUCCGACAUUUUGGUUAUCGCUUAAAUAGUUGGUGUUACUGAGUUGGAUUAUCAUUGAAAAAAUCAAUUUAAAAAUAGAGGGCAUAAUCUCCCGUGAUUAAAUCUUCAGAAAAUAAAUACUUUUCGUUUUUCUAACACGCCAGUUAUUUAUCGGUCGUGGGGACAACCUAUAUAGAUUCUCAUCCGUCUUUUUUAUUGCUUCCCCAUUUUACGCGAGGAGAGGACAAUGCAUGGCGAACAAUUCUAGCGAGUACGUAAUAAAUUAUUUAUUUAGACUAGGUUUUUUUUUCUCUGGAGAUAUUAGUUACGUUAAAGUACAAUGACACAUAAGAUUUGCAGCAAUCCAAUGGAAGUGCCCUGUAAUUAGUUUACUAGUAUUACUCAGGCUCAAAUAAUGCCACUAGUUAAUAUUUGGUUCAAAUAGAAAUGCUUUAAUUUUUGGAUAUGUGGUCCAAUUUUUCUAAUUCAACACAAACUGUGGAUGGAAUAACUGAUCUCAACGUGCAUAUCCAGAAUUUUGUUUAAAGCUAGCGAUGUUUUUUGGUUUGUAUUUUUGCAUUGGUUUGUUUUCAAGAGCGAAAUAACUUUUGACCAACAGUGUGCUUUAAGAAAAGUAUGACUCCCUACUCAUUUAAAGGCAAUGAAUGCACAAAAUGUGUUCCACUAGGUGUUUUAAUAUUAUGGUAAGUAGUAACUUUUUUAUGCAUUCUUAUACUGGCCAAAAAAAC